rnacentral:rRNA from 1 species
AUUGAACGCUGGCGGCAUGCCUAACACAUGCAAGUCGAACGGUAGCAGGGAGCUUGGUGCUGGAGUGAGCGGCGCGGGGGUGUGUAAUGCCUAGGAGUGUGCCGGCGUGGGGGGGAUAACGUCGGGAGAGGGGCUCUUAUAGCACACACGUUCUGGGUGAGAGAGGGGGGGAUCUUCGGACCGCGCGCUAGCAGAGGAGGCUAGGUCGGAUUAGCUAGUUGGUGGGGUAAAGGCCUACCAAGGCGACGAUCUGUAGCUGGUCUGAGAGGACGAUCAGUCACACUGGAACUGAGACACGGCCCAGACUCCUACGGGAGGCAGCAGUGGGGAAUAUUGGACAAUGGGCGCAAGCCUGAUCCAGCAAUGCCGCGUGUGUGAAGAAGGCCUUCGGAUUGUAAACUGCUUUUAUUCGGGACGAAGCGCCGUUAGUUAAUACCCUGCUCUAUUGACGGUACCAUAAGAAUAAGCACCGGCUAACUACGUG